rnacentral:rRNA from 1 species
AGAAUGACUCUCGGCAACGGAUAUCUAGGCUCUUGCAUCGAUGAAGAACGUAGCGAAAUGCGAUACUUGGUGUGAAUUGCAGAAUCCCGUGAACCAUCGAGUCUUUGAACGCAAGUUGCGCCCGAUGCCAUUAGGUUGAGGGCACGUCUGCCUGAGAGUCACAU